rnacentral:miRNA from 1 species
AACCUCAUUGACUGGAAGGGAUUCCUUCUGGUCAAUUAGGUAUAGCUUGGAUUCCUUCCAUUCAAUGAGGAGGCUAAACCUCAUUGACCAGAAGGAAUCCCUUCUGGUUGAUGAGGUA